CAGGGCUCAGGAUGGGGUGUUGGUGACCAAAGCCCUUUUGUCUUGGUCCUUGAGAGACCAAGUGUCAGGCCCUCUUUGAUCCUUUGAUCUGUUACACUUGUUUGUUCUUACUUCUGUGUGAGGCCAGACGCACAGUCACGGACCGCUCCAGAGCUUGCAUCAACCUGGCAUCACUCACAUGAUCACCUCUUCCCUCUCAAUGUCCAAAUGGCCUGAGUAGCCGCCCAGUUUUUGGUUCUCAUUUUUGCUUGACCGCCUUUGAUAUCAUCACCCGCUGCAUCACUGGCAUUGCCCCCUCCUGGUCCAAGUUUUACCUACCUGGCUGGUGAUUCAGGGUGCCAAGGAAAGGUCCGCUUUUGGCUCAUCACCAGAUCUUCACUGGGGUUCCCCAUGGAUAGGUGCCGGGGCCAAUGCUCUUUGUCAUAUAAAUGACGUCGCAAGAGGCGAUUAAUCACUUGGAUGUUUUUUGUUUUUUUUUAUACCAGAACUAUGCAGAUGAAACAAAGCUGAACCUUUUGUUUCUGCCAGAUGAAGGAAUAGACAUUAGAGCAGUGGAACUCUGAGUCCCAAUUUGAUAUCGCUGGUUCCACCUGCGGCAUCUUGGUGUGAUGCAGAAAAGUUGGAUCACUGCUUUUUGAAGAGGACAGCGAGGUCGUCAACGGUCCCAAAGGAGUUCCCAGAGACGCUGAGCACAUGUUGGCCCUUUUGCAUUACACUGCGGCCCAGCUCAUCCGAAACCAUCUUGAUUGGGUUUAGGUCAGGUAAGACUGGAGGCCAGGUCAUCUUGAUUUUUUCUCCCACCUCUCUCUCUCUCUCCCUGUCCUUUGAGUCUGUCUCGAAUGUGUGUCUCCCCCACCAGAGUAGACCCAACAGAGCCCGACUGGCUGUUGGCCUAAUGACAUAAUGAGAUAAGAGCUGCACGUAAGCGGAGGCUCCAUCUGGCUCAGUCCAACUCUUUUGGACACUGUCCCUUUUGCUUGUGCAAUAAAGUUCAGUGAAAAUGUGAAAAAACGAC
rnacentral:lncRNA from 1 species